rnacentral:rRNA from 1 species
UACGGGAGGCAGCAGUGGGGAAUAUUGCACAAUGGGCGCAAGCCUGAUGCAGCCAUGCCGCGUGUAUGAAGAAGGCCUUCGGGUUGUAAAGUACUUUCAGUCGUGAAGGAAGGUGUUAAGGUUAAUAACCUUAGCAAUUGACGUUAGCGACAGAAGAAGCACCGGCUAACUCCGUGCCAGCAGCCGCGGUAAUACGGAGGGUGCGAGCGUUAAUCGGAAUUACUGGGCGUAAAGGGCACGCAGGCGGUUAAUUAAGUUGGAUGUGAAAUCCCCGGGCUUAACCUGGGAAUGGCAUUCAAGACUGGUUAGCUAGAGUCUUGUAGAGGGGGUAGAAUUCCGAUGUGUAGCGGUGAAAUGCGUAGAGAUGUGGAGGAAUACCGGUGGCGAAGGCGGCCCCCUGGACAAAGACUGACGCUCAUGUGCGAAAGCGUGGGGAGCAAAC